rnacentral:snRNA from 1 species
GUGCUUGCUUUGGCAGCACAUAUACUAAAAUUGGAACAAUACAGAGAACAUUAGCACGGCCCCUGUGCAAGGAUGACACGCAAAUUCGUGAAGCGUUCCUUAUUUUU